UUGACGGUGAAGUCCCACUCCACCUCGUUGCCGUACAUCACCUCGUCACCGAAGUGGUCGCCGUCGGCCAGCGUGUCCAGCACGGUCUGGUCGCCGUACUUGCCCUGCCCGAUCUUGUUCACCUUGCCGUGCGCGACGAGGAAGACCUCCUCGGCCCGGUCGCCGGACGAGACCACGACGUCGCCCGGCUGGAACUCGCGCUGCCGGAACCGGUCGGCCAACGCGACCAGCACGUCGUCGUCCGGGAAGUCGCGCAGCACGGGCAGUUCCCGCAGCUCCUGCGGGAUGACCCGGAUGUCGGCGCCGGUGCUGGUGAAGCUCACCCGCCCGUCACCGAGCGCGUAGGUGAGGCGGCGGUUGACCCGGUACGUGCCUGCCUGGGUGGUCACCCAGGGCAGCUUGCGCAGCAGCCACCGCGGCGAGAUGCCCUGCAUCUGCGGGGUGGACUUGGUCGUGGUCGCGAGGUUCCGCGCGCCGGCGGUGCUCAGGCUCUGCCGCUGCUGCUCGG
rfam:Saccharothrix sp. NRRL B-16348 P442contig21.1, whole genome shotgun sequence.